UGUGUAGGCGGUCCCUUAAGUUUGGUGUGAAAUCUCCCGGCUCAACUGGGAGGGUGCGCCGGAUACUGAGGGGCUAGAGUGCGGGAAGGGAAAGUGGAAUUCCUGGUGUAGCGGUGAAAUGCGUAGAUAUCAGGAGGAACACCGGUGGUGUAAACGGCUUUCUGGACCGUAACUGACGCUGAGACACGAAAGCGUGGGGAGCAAACAGGAUUAGAUACCCUGGUAGUCCACGCCCUAAACGAUGCACGUUUGGUGUAGGUCAUUCAGUUGAUCUGUGCCGGAGCUAACGCGUUAAACGUGCCGCCUGGGGAGUACAGUCGCAAGGCUGAA
rnacentral:rRNA from 1 species